rnacentral:rRNA from 1 species
CCUACGGGAGGCAGCAGUGAGGAAUAUUGGUCAAUGGACGAGAGUCUGAACCAGCCAAGUAGCGUGAAGGAUGACUGCCCUAUGGGUUGUAAACUUCUUUUAUAAGGGAAUAAAGCGCGGCACGUGUGCCGUUUUGCAUGUACCUUAUGAAUAAGGAUCGGCUAACUCCGUGCCAGCAGCCGCGGUAAUACGGAGGAUCCGAGCGUUAUCCGGAUUUAUUGGGUUUAAAGGGAGCGUAGGUGGGUGGUUAAGUCAGUUGUGAAAGUUUGCGGCUCAACCGUAAAAGUGCAAUUGAUACUGGCAGUCUUGAGUACAGUUGAGGUAGGCGGAAUUCGUGGUGUAGCGGUGAAAUGCUUAGAUAUCACGAAGAACCCCGAUUGCGAAGGCAGCUUACUAAACUGUGACUGACACUGAUGCUCGAAAGUGUGGGUAUCAAACAGGAUUAGAUACCCGUGUAGUC